CGGUCAAAUCACGCUGAAACACCGGUUCUCGUACGAUCACCGAAGUUAAGCAGCGUAGAGCCAGGUCAGUACUUAGAUGGGGGACCGCUUGGGAACACCUGGUACUGUAAG
rnacentral:rRNA from 1 species